rnacentral:rRNA from 1 species
UACGUAGGGCGCAAGCGUUUGUCCGGAAUUAUUGGGCGUAAAGAGUCUCGUGAGCGGUCUGUCGCGUCCGUUGUGAAAACUCGAGGCUCAACCUCGGGCUUGCAGUGGAUACGGGCAGACUAGAGUGCGGUAGGGGAGACUGGAAUUCCUGGUGUAGCGGUGGAAUGCGCAGAUAUCAGGAGGAACACCGAUGGCGAAGGCAGGUCGUCUGGGCCGCAACUGACGCUGAGGAGCGAAAGCAUGGGAGCGAACAGG